rnacentral:tRNA from 1 species
CAAAUUAGAGCUUGAAAAGUAUUUCAUUUACAUUGAAAAGAUUAUUGAAAAUUCAAUUAAUUUGA